GACGAACGCUGGCGGCGUGCUUAACACAUGCAAGUCGAACGGAGCUGUUUAUUUCGGUAGAUAGCUUAGUGGCAAACGGGUGAGUAACGCGUAGGCAACCUGCCCUUAGGAUGGGGACAACGGCCCGAAAGGACCGCUAAUACCGAAUGGACUCUAACUUUCGCAUGAAAGAAAGAGGAAAGAUGGUGCAAGCCAUCGCCGAAGGAAGGGCCUGCGUCUGAUUAGCCAGUUGGUGAGGUAACGGCCCACCAAAGCGACGAUCAGUAGCCGGUCUGAGAGGAUGAACGGCCACAAUGGGACUGAGACACGGCCCAUACUCCUACGGGAGGCAGCAGUGGGGAAUCUUCCGCAAUGGGCGCAAGCCUGACGGAGCAACGCCGCGUGAGUGAAGAAGGUCUUCGGAUCGUAAAGCUCUGUUGUUGGGGACGAAAGGGUAGACGAGGCA
rnacentral:rRNA from 1 species